rnacentral:rRNA from 1 species
ACGGAAGGCAGCAGUGGGGAAUAUUGCACAAUGGGGGAAACCCUGAUGUAGCGACGCCGCGUGAGUGAUGAAGUACUUCUGUACGUAAAGCUCUAUCAGCAGGGAAGAUAAUGACGGUACCUGACUAAGAAGCACCGGCUAAAUACGUGCCAGCAGCCGCGGUAAUACGUAUGGUGCAAGCGUUAUCCGGAUUUACUGGGUGUAAAGGGAGCGUAGGCGGUACGGCAAGUCUGAUGUGAAAACCCGGGGCUCAACUCCGGGAUUGCAUUGGAAACUGUCGAACUAGAGUGUCGGAGGGGUAAGUGGAAUUCCCAGUGUAGCGGUGAAAUGCGUAGAUAUUGGGAGGAACACCAGUGGCGAAGGCGGCUUACUGGACGAUUACUGACGCUGAGGCUCGAAAGCGUGGGGAGCAAACAGGAUUAGAUACCCUGGUA